rnacentral:rRNA from 1 species
GGGCCCGCACAAGUAGUGGAGCAUGUGGUUUAAUUCGAAGAUACGCGCAGAACCUUACCAACACUUGACAUGUUCGUCGCGACUCUAAGAGAUUAGAGUUUUCGGUUCGGCCGGACGAAACACAGGUGCUGCAUGGCUGUCGUCAGCUCGUGUCGUGAGAUGUUGGGUUAAGUCCCGCUAACGAGCGCAACCCGUCACUUUUAGUUGCCAUCAUUAAGUUGGGCACUCUGAAAGAACUGCCAGUGAUAAGCUGGAGGAAGGUGGGGAUGACGUCAAGUCCUCAUGGCCCCUUACGUGUUGGGCUACACACGUGCUACAAUGGUAUCUACAACAGGAAAGCAAGACUGCAGAAGUUAAG